CACGUAAGGGGCAAGCGUUGUUCGGAAUUAUUGGGCGUAAAGGGCGUGUAGGCGGUUCUGCAAGCCUGGUGUUAAAUACCACAGCUUAACUGUGGGAAAGCGCUGGGAACUGCGGGACUAGAGUUUAGGAGGGGAAGCUAGAAUUCCAGGUGUAGGGGUGAAAUCUGUAGAUAUCUGGAAGAAUACCAGUGGCGAAGGCGAGCUUCUGGCCAUAGACUGACGCUGAUGCGCGAAAGCGUGGGGAGCGAACAGG
rnacentral:rRNA from 1 species